GACGAACGCUGGCGGCGUGCUUAACACAUGCAAGUCGAACGGAAAGGCCCUGCUUUUGUGGGGUGCUCGAGUGGCGAACGGGUGAGUAACACGUGAGUAACCUGCCCUUGACUUUGGGAUAACUUCAGGAAACUGGGGCUAAUACCGGAUAGGAGCUCCUGCUGCAUGGUGGGGGUUGGAAAGUUUCGGCGGUUGGGGAUGGACUCGCGGCUUAUCAGCUUGUUGGUGGGGUAGUGGCUUACCAAGGCUUUGACGGGUAGCCGGCCUGAGAGGGUGACCGGCCACAUUGGGACUGAGAUACGGCCCAGACUCCUACGGGAGGCAGCAGUGGGGAAUAUUGCACAAUGGGCGGAAGCCUGAUGCAGCAACGCCGCGUGCGGGAUGACGGCCUUCGGGUUGUACACCGCUUUCGCCUGUGACGAAGCGUGAGUGACGGUGAUGGGUAAAGAAGCACCGGCUAACUACGUG
rnacentral:rRNA from 1 species